ACGUAGGUGGCAAGCGUUGUCCGGAAUUAUUGGGCGUAAAGCGCGCGCAGGUGGGAUCUUAAGUCCAUUUUGAAAGUUCGGAGCUCAACUCCGUGAUGGGAUGGAAACUGGGAUUCUUGAGUAUCGGAGAGGAAAGCGGAAUUCCCCGUGUAGCGGUGAAAUGCUUAGAUAUGGGACGGAACACCAGUGGCGAAGGCAGCUUUCUGGACGAUGUCUGACACUGAUGCGCGAAAGCCAGGGGAGCGAACUG
rnacentral:rRNA from 1 species